GACGAACGCUGGCGGCGUGCUUAACACAUGCAAGUCGAACGGAAAGGCCCCCACUUUUUUGGUGGGGGUGCUCGAGUGGCGAACGGGUGAGUAACACGUGGGUGAUCUGCCUUGUACUUCGGGAUAAGCUUGGGAAACUGGGUCUAAUACCGGAUAGGACCAUGGUUUAGUGUCUCAUGGUGGAAAAAUUAUUGUUUUGGUGCAGGAUGAGCUCGCGGCCUAUCAGCUUGUUGGUGGGGUAAUGGCCUACCAAGGCGUCGACGGGUAGCCGGCCUGAGAGGGUGGACGGCCACAUUGGGACUGAGAUACGGCCCAGACUCCUACGGGAGGCAGCAGUGGGGAAUAUUGCACAAUGGGCGCAAGCCUGAUGCAGCGACGCCGCGUGGGGGAUGACGGCCUUCGGGUUGUAAACUCCUUUCGUUAGGGACGAAGCCGCACCUUUUUUGGGUGUGGUGACGGUACCUUUGUUAAGAAGCACCGGCUAACUACGUG
rnacentral:rRNA from 1 species